AUGAAGCUCGCGACCACUCUCCUCACCGCGCCUCGCCGACGUGCCCCCGGAGCUGUGCAUCAACGCCCUCUUCCCCUCCAUGGACACAAGCAAGCUCGGAAGCAUCGGAACGCCGCCUACAUCACCAUCUUCAACAUCGGGAGCCGACCACUGCCGCCUUCGAUUCGCGACCACCAGAGCCUCCCCGAGCAAGCUGACCUCCUCUUCGCGAUCCCAACGUUGGAGCCCAGGAGCCAUACGCCACCGUCGACGAUGACUACUGCUACUCGGGAGGUGCCUACUACUACGUGCAGCCUUCUGACGAUGACCAGGAGUAGUUUAGGAGGAUACCAGGCAGGAGUCUUGCGCCUCUUUUGA
rnacentral:rRNA from 1 species